CCUACGGGAGGCAGCAGUGGGGAAUAUUGGGCAAUGGGCGCAAGCCUGACCCAGCAACGCCGCGUGAGGGAAGAAGGCUCUCGGGUUGGAAACUUCUUUUGUCAGGGACGAAGCAAGUAAAGGUACCUGACGAAUAAGCCACGGCUAACUACGUGCCAGCAGCCGCGGUAAUACGUAGGUGGUAAGCGUUAUCCGGAUUUAUUGGGUGUAAAGGACGUGUAGGCGGGAAUGCAAGUCAGAUGUGAAAACUAGGGGCUCAACCCAUAGCCUGCAUUUGAAACUGUAGUUCUUGAGUGCUGGAGAGGCAAUCGGAAUUCCGGGUGUAGCGGUGAAAUGCGUAGAUAUCCGGAGGAACACCAGUGGCGAAGGCGGAUUGCUGGACAGUAACUGACGCUGAGGCGCGAAAGCGUGGGGAGCGAACGGGAUUAGAUACCCUUGUAGUC
rnacentral:rRNA from 1 species